rnacentral:rRNA from 1 species
AUUGAACGCUGGCGGCAUGCUUCACACAUGCAAGUCGAACGGCAGCACGGGGGCAACCCUGGUGGCGAGUGGCGAACGGGUGAGUAAUGCAUCGGAACGUACCCGGGAGUGGGGGAUAACGUAGCGAAAGUUACGCUAAUACCGCAUAUUCUGUGAGCAGGAAAGUGGGGGACCGUAAGGCCUUACGCUUCUGGAGCGGCCGAUGUCGGAUUAGCUAGUUGGUGGGGUAAAGGCUUACCAAGGCGACGAUCCGUAGCGGGUCUGAGAGGAUGAUCCGCCACACUGGGACUGAGACACGGCCCAGACUCCUACGGGAGGCAGCAGUGGGGAAUUUUGGACAAUGGGCGCAAGCCUGAUCCAGCCAUGCCGCGUGAGUGAAGAAGGCCUUCGGGUUGUAAAGCUCUUUUGUUGGGGAAGAAAUGCUCUGGGUUAAUACCCUGGGGUGAUGACGGUACCCGAAGAAUAAGCACCGGCUAACUACGUGCCAGCCGCCGCAGUAA